GACAGCUCAGUUGGUAGAGCACAAGACUCUUAACCUGACGGUCAUGGGUUUGAGCCCCAUGGUGGGCA